rnacentral:lncRNA from 10 species
CAGGAAUAGCCUCCUGAGCUGGGUGGGGCCUUGAGCUUCAAAAUCCUGGCCUCAGAUUGACACGAUUUACAGAGACUCUGCCCAUGUGGACAGAAAUGUUUCGGCCUCCAGCCUUAGAAUCACAGAAAGUUCAUGAUGAUGAUAAUCAGAACAGUGGCUCAUCUUCAGUGAGUGCUUACUAUCUACCAGACAAGGACAUGGAAGCUCAGAGACAUGAAGUCACUUGUCCAAGGUCACACAGCGAGAAAAUGAGGAAUCCAGGUUUCAGGACCCAGAGCCCAAAGUCAUAACGAAUGGUUGGAACUGGGAAGAAACUUCAUGAUCUAUUGUGACAGAUUAGGAAUCUGC